UACGUAGGGGCCUAGCGUUGUCCGGAUUUAUUGGGCGUAAAGAGCUCGUAGGCGGUUCGGUAAGUCAGGUGUGAAAUCUCCACGCUCAACGUGGAGGCGCCACCUGAAACUGCCGUGACUCGAGUCCGGUAGGGGAGUGUGGAAUUCCUGGUGUAGCGGUGAAAUGCGCAGAUAUCAGGAGGAACACCAGUGGCGAAGGCGGCACUCUGGGGCCGGUACUGACGCUGAGGGACGA
rnacentral:rRNA from 1 species